UCUCACCUAAUCGGCUCCCCACCCCAAGAUUGAAAGCAGAGUCACUUGCUCUGUUCCCAGCUGGAAAUUUCAGGACACGAUCGUUCCACAAAUAAAAGCCAUCAUCAUCACCAUCGUUCCAGCUAAUUUUCACUAUCAGAGUUCUUUUUUAAAUUGAGUUGCUUCUGAAAGCCUUGAAAGAGAGACUUCAAAUGGAUGCAGCUAUGGAAUUCAUCUGGGAGACUGCCAAGACUAUUGCCCCGAAUGCAUAGGCUCAAUACAACUACUCUAGAAACCUCAAAGAGAAUCUUAAUGUACUGAAAAACAAAAUGCAGGAGUUGAGUAGUCGAGAGUCCGACAUAAAGAAUGAAUUGAAAACGGCGGAGGUAGUAUGUAGUAAGAAGCGAAAAGCAGAGGUGUGUUUAUGGUUGGAAAAUGUGGAAAAGAUUACAAGCGAAGUUACUAAAAUAGAAGAUGAUUCUAAACAAGCAAAGAGAUAUUUAAUCCCUUCUCAUUUAGCACUGGAAAAGCGUGUCGUAAAGAAAAUUGAAGAGGUGGUGAAGCUUAAGGAGAAAGGUCAAUUUUCAGAAGGGUUACUUGCUGAUCUAUUACUUGAAAAUGGAAGCAUGCCGGCUACAAAACUCAUGGGUAGAACAACAGUAGAAAGAAAUAUUUUGGAACAGAUUUGGGAGUCCUUGAUAAAUCAAGAGGUCAGAACUAUUGGUGUCUAUGGUUUGGAGGGAGUCGGCAAAACAACCAUCAUGACCCACAUCUACAAUAAAAUAGAGAGUUCUAGAGUAUUUGACACUGCCAUUUGGGUGACAGUGUCUAAUGAUUCUAAUAUUGAGAGACUACAGAAUGGUAUUGCACAAGCAAUAGGAUUGGAGCUUUCCAAUAAAGAAGAUGAAAUGAUAAGGU